rnacentral:lncRNA from 1 species
UCAAACUCGAGGUCCCAGUCAUCAACCUGUCAAAUGAUGUUGCCCUUCUGCAAGAUAUAUUGCUUGCCAAGCUGUUUCAGUAAAUCGACAUUGUAAAACAAUUGAUUGCAAACUGUUUUAAUUUUGUAAGCAUUUUGAGCUUACUUGAUUGCUACUGAUCGUAUUUUCCAUCUCUGUCUGCACAGGUUCAUGUAAAUGUCAUUAGAUCCGAUGUUAAUUUGUCCUCUGAGUCUGCUUUUUAGAACAAGGAUAUGACAACGAUCAGUUUCAAGAACCGAUCAAAAGCUGAGCCAUUGGGGGUGUAUAGUGAGGAGAGUUACAUGAAUUUGCAAAUCACCAAAAUGAUACAGACAGUGUGCUGAUGAAGAAGAAGAAGGUAGGGUUAAAUCAGCAUCCCCAGCAUCGUCUUUCUGAUGGAAGCCUGUCCUCCUUGGAGCUAGCGAUGUGCUAAAUCUGUAGCCUGUAAGAUUUCAAUUUCUUAAGCUGAGCCAUUGGUGCUUUUUUCCAAGGAUUCAAUUUCUUUUUGGUUCUUUGGUGCACUGCUAAGUGGACUUUUCAAUUUUCAC